AAUUGAUAGUUUAUGAUAUUGUAAUAAUGUUGGGAGAUAGAGAUAUGGCGACAUUCUGAAUUCUGGAGUAUGAAAGAUAAGGUAGAUUGUUCAAAGAAAGACUAACAAACAGGAGAAAUUGGACUGAGAUGCUUAUUUCUUGAACUAAACGUGACAUGUUUUAUUCCAUGCUCAGUGUAAUUAAUAGUGGUUCUACUCUGUGUGUCGAAUUCAGUUCUAAUGUGUUAUUCUUGUCUAUGUUUAUCAGAGAAUUGAUAAUAACAUUUGGGACCAAAGAAGUUAAACAUUGAAUAGGGGCUUUAUUUGCUACCUUUUUAAGAUAUUGGGAGAUGGCAGAGAAAUCAUGCAUCAAGCGCCUACAGAACGAAUAUAGAGCACUGUGUAAGGAACCAGUUUCUCAUGUUGUGGUCCGUCCUUCCCCAAAUGACAUUCUUGAGUGGCGAAAUAUACAACAAAGGAGGAAGAAAUUUUGGGUUUCUUAGCCUUGAUCCUCUCGGUUGUAUACCAUUCUCAAGAGCACUGUGAAGGGACAAAAAGAUGGAUGCUUUGAAGAGGUUACACCGUAUGUAAAACUCCACAAUGAAGAACUUCCCAAACUUCUUCAGAAGCUGGAAACUGAAAUCAAGGUAUUCGGAUACUCACUUUCCAACUAUAAUGAGUUUCUGAGUGAUGGGAUCAAUAACCCUUCAAAAUAUGGUAACUUUUCAUUUUCUUGGUUGUGUGUGUUUUUCAACUUUUUUAUAUGCAUAUUAUUUACCUCUUGUCAGUUAUUGGGAUCUAGUGCUAAGACUGCUAUCUAAUUGCCAUCAUAUUAUAGCUCUUGUUUGAGAAGGUUAACUUUUGUUUUUUUGGGUGGGGGAGAGAGAAUUAUGGUUUUGUGGGGAAGGUUGCAUGUUGUGGAAGUGGUCCGUAUAGAGAAACUUUCAGCUGCGGAGGCCAGAGAGGUAUUAAAGAGUGACAUAUGCCCGAAUGCAAGUGAAUAUGUCUUCUUUGACUCUAGUCAUUAACAGAAAGGAUCAGUUAGCAAUUUGCUACGCUAUUCUGGAGUGGAACUCCCAAUUUCAUUGCUCCCUUAUAGUGUCCAGGCACUAUUCGAAUGAAAUUAACCGUGUGUGUGUCCUAAUAUGUAGUUACUAGAUAGAGAUUACCGAUAUAGGAGCUGUAUUGGUAAUGUAGACUGUUUGUUACGAUAUAUAUUGUACUAGCACUAGGCCUUUCCAUCUUCA